AGACUGUUAAAAUAACUCACAUGGAGGUGUUGUGACUGAUGAUGACUUUAAUUUUAUCCUUUACCCAGCCCCUCUGAGAAAAAAAAAAUUGGAAUCUAAUUAGGAUGAUGUUUACCUCCAGAUAAAUGACUCUGUAAUUGUGGAGUUUCAGGCUGUGCACUGAAACUGUGUUGUGGACAGGCAGGGCUCUUCCUAAGCAUCCCGGGAUCUCUGACUUGCCCUGAGUAUAGAGGUGAGUCAGUGGGGCACAUAUCGUACCUGUCACCGCAGGAUGUCAUAAUGGAAUAGAAUAUUAGAGUUGGCAGUGACCUUAGAGACCCAGCUAUUGCACAGAUGAAUCCAAGAGGGGGAAAGGCUUUGCCCAUAGGGAACGAACUGGAAACAGAAUCUCUUCCCAAAAGGCUUAGGCUCAGUGUCUGUUCUUCCGUCCAUAUCUGCCUGUGGGACAUGAUCCAGCUCACGGCUCUUCUCCAGAAGGGCAGGAGAGGAAUUCUGACUCAUUUCCCAUCUCUUUAUCUUUCUGAGCUACAUUUAUGGAUGAUUCUCUCAACUUUUUUUUUUUCAAUUUAUGAAUUCCUUUGCAAAUGUGCCUAAUCUGAUGUUUAUGCCAUUUUUUACUUUAAAAAAGUUUAAUAAUUAUAUAUUUCAUUUUGAGAUGUAUUUGGUGUCAAAUCUGUUAGGUCAUCUUGGAUACUUUUAUGUUCCCUGCAUGUGUGUUUAAUUUCCCCUUUUACUCCCAUAAACAUUGAAAACACGACUUUGAAUCCUGUUCCUGAUAAUCCCAUAAUGUGACAUCUUUGGUGGUCUAAUUCUGACAUCUGCUGCUCCUGCUGACACUUGCUCAUGAUGGAUUGUUUCUCUUGUGCAGGCUCAAUUUUUAUGGUGAACUCAUGUUUUGCAGAUCUCAGUCUGUGGGAAUCUUGACAGGCCUAGGCUGAGGGUUAGUCCUCUGGAGAGAUCUGUCAGGAGGCCUGGAGUGCUUGUUUCCAUCUUGGAAACACAUUAAAAUAUUUCUCAGCUUGGAUAUUCUUCAGGGAGUGUAAAUCCAGACCCGAAAUCCAUGUGAGGAUGGCCUUUACAUUUUCAGGGGGAAGGAAGAGUGAAAUAUCUCUCUUCUUUUUCCUCUUCCUUCUCUUCCCCCUUCUCCUCCUCCUCCUCCUUCUCUCUUUCUCUUUUUUUAACCCAAAGCUGAAGCCAGGAUAGACACACUUUCUUGUUAGCUUCUUUUUCUAUGUCACCUUUUUACCAAGAGUUAGCUCUUCAAGGAUUCUAGCUUUUCCAAGAGUCUCAGUCCUGACACUCCAUCUUGCCUGCAUGGGAGCAGGGCCCUGCCUUCUCUCUUUUGUAUGGCUGUUAAAACCAGUGACUAUAGGUUUCAGAUAUUUCCAGGUGCUUCUAGGGCAGCCCAGAGCAUCAGGGGUCAUUUCUCAUUCUGGUUUCAGCCUCUUCUUUGGUUUUGGCCUUUGUGAGUUUCCUUACUUUCUUAUACCUUCAGGUAGUCAUUUAAAAGAUGUUUGUUUAGUUUCAAUCAACAGGUCUAGGUAUU
rnacentral:lncRNA from 1 species